CAGCCGCCACGGUAAUACGAGGGGGGCAAGCGUUGUUCGGAAUUAUUGGGCGCAAAGGGUGCGUAGGCGGUUUGAUAAGUCUUGUGUGAAAUCUAUGGGCUCAACCCAUAGUCUGCACAGGAAACUGUCGGGCUUGAGAGUGGGAGAGGUGAGUGGAAUUUCCGGUGUAGCGGUGAAAUGCGUAGAUAUCGGAAGGAACACCUGUGGCGAAAGCGGCUCACUGGACCAUUUCUGACGCUGAUGCACGAAAGCUAGGGGAGCAAUCAGGAUUAGAUACCCGCGUAGUCCCUGUCUCUUAUAC
rnacentral:rRNA from 1 species